rnacentral:rRNA from 1 species
AGAUUGAACGCUGGCGGCGUGCCUAACACAUGCAAGUCGAUCGGUAACAGGUGUAGCAAUACAUGCUGACGAGAGGCGGACGGGUGAGUAAUGUUUGGGAAUCUGCCUAUUAGUGGGGGAUAACCCGGGGAAACUCGGGCUAAUACCGCAUACGCUUUACGAAGGAAAGCCGGGGACCGCAAGGCCUGGCGCUAAUAGAUGAGCCCAAAUCGGAUUAGCUAGUUGGUGAGGUAACGGCUCACCAAGGCGACGAUCCGUAGCUGGUUUGAGAGAACGACCAGCCACACCGGAACUGAGACACGGUCCGGACUCCUACGGGAGGCAGCAGUGGGGAAUAUUGGACAAUGGGGGAAACCCUGAUCCAGCGACGCCGCGUGGGUGAAGAAGGCCUGCGGGUUGUAAAGCCCUUUCGGUUGGGAAGAAAGUAUUGACCUAACACGUUAGUACCUUGACGUAACCAACAAAGAAGCACCGGCUAACUCUGCGCCAGCAGCCGCGGUAA